UACGUAGGGCGCAAGCGUUAUCCGGAAUUAUUGGGCGUAAAGAGCUCGUAGGCGGUGUGUCGCGUCGGCCGUGAAAGCCCCCCGGCUCAACUGGGGAGGGUCACGCGAUACUGCUCGACUUGAAGGCAGGAGAGGGAAGUGGAAUUCCCGGUGUAGUGGUGAAAUGCGUAGAUAUCGGGAGGAACACCAGUGGCGAAGGCGACUUCCUGGCCUGUUCUUGACGCUGAGGCGCGAAAGCUAGGGUAGCAAACGGG
rnacentral:rRNA from 1 species